AUUCUCAUCCAGUUUUCCUGGUGAUGAGAAGACAGGUAUUUAAGCCUGUGUAUAUUUUAUAUUAAAUAUACACAGCAAUCACUGACUCUCAAAGCUAUCAGAUCUGGGUUGUAAAAAGAGGAAUGACCACUAGAAGGCAGCAAAGAAAUAUUAAAAUGCUAAAUCUUGGCAGCCAACCUGUCAGCAUCUGGAUUUUAGUUCAGUGGAAGGGUAGCGUACAAAUUAUUUAAAAUUAGGUUAUCCUGAGACAAAGCAAAUCACCAACAGUUCCUGUAUGAAUUUACUGGGGAUCAAAUAACAUGCAAAUUUUUGAACAAAAGGCUGGAAAACUGCAGAAUUAUUUCUAUCCCCUGCCUUUCUGUAUAUCCUGUAGGAGAAGCUCAAAAGAUUCCUCAGAAUUAGCACUGAUGUUACUGAUGAUAAUGAAACAUCUGCAACAAAACAGCCAAGCUCAUAGAACACUAAGGACUCCUCAGAUUCAACAGCAUGAAAUAACAGAGUUGGAAGGGACCUUGUAGGUCAUCUAGUCAACUCCCAAGUCUC